rnacentral:rRNA from 1 species
GACGAACGCUGGCGGCGUGCCUAAUACAUGCAAGUCGAGCGGACUUGAUGGAGCUUGCUCCUGAUAGUCAGCGGCGGACGGGUGAGUAACACGUGGGCAACCUGCCUGUAAGACUGGGAUAACUUCGGGAAACCGGAGCUAAUACCGGAUACGUUCUUUUCUCGCAUGAGAGAAGAUGGAAAGACGGUUUCGGCUGUCACUUACAGAUGGGCCCGCGGCGCAUUAGCUAGUUGGUGGGGUAAUGGCCCACCAAGGCAACGAUGCGUAGCCGAGCUGAGAGGGUGAUCGGCCACACUGGGACUGAGAAACGGCCCAGAGUCCUACGGGAGGCAGCAGUAGGGAAUCUUCCGCAAUGGACGAAAGUCUGACGGAGCAACGCCGCGUGAGUGAAGAAGGUUUUCGGAUCGUAAAACUCUGUUGUCAGGGAAGAACAAGUACCAUAGUAACUGAUGGUACCUUGACGGUACCUGGCCAGAAAGCCACGGUUAACUACGUGCCAGCCGCCGCGGUAAUAC